rnacentral:rRNA from 1 species
GCAAGUCGAGGGGCAGCAAUACUGCUUGCAGUAGUUGGCGACCGGCGGACGGGUGCGUAACGCGUAUGCAACCUACCUUAUACAGGGAGAUAGCCCAGAGAAAUUUGGAUUAAUAUCCCAUAAUAUCAUAAAGCCUCCUGGUUUAAUGAUUAAAGAUUUAUCGGUAUAAGAUGGGCAUGCGUAUGAUUAGCUAGUUGGUGAGGUAAUGGCUCACCAAGGCAUCGAUCAUUAGGGGGCCUGAGAGGAUAGUC